AUGAAAUGGAGCCCCCAAACACCAACCGAAAGCACACAGUCCUUCCUUCCCCCAACACUCAGGGGACCCCCCCAUGAAGCCACAGCUCCCCCUCCCCCAGGCGCGGGGAGAGGGGGGGAUUUUAUAAAUAAACCGAAUAGUGACGAAUUAGGGGUGAAAUUGAGUCAAGAGGGAUGUGAGAGACGCGCAGUGUCCCGGUCCCCGUCCUGCUCCUUGUCCCCACCUCUGCCCGUGUCCCAGUCCCUGUCCCGGUCCCCAUCCCUGCCCGUGUCCCUGUCCCUUCUCCCAUUCCCGUUCCCGGUCCCAUCUCCCAUGCCUCUCCCAGUCCCGUUCCCAGUCCCGUUCCUGCUCCCUGUCCCGUUCCCGGUCCCGCUCCCAUCUCCCACGCCUCUCCCAGUCCUGUUCCCAGUCCCGUUCCCGGUCCCGCUCCCAUCUCCCAUGCCUGUCCCUGUCCCGUUUCCAGUCCCGUUCCUGCUCCCUGUCCCGUUCCCGUUCCCGGUCCCGCUCCCAUCUCCCAUGCCUCUCCCAGUCCCGUUCCCAGUCCCGUUCCUGCUCCCUGUCCCGUUCCAGGUCCCGCUCCCAUCUCCCACGCCUCUCCCAGUCCCGUUCCCAGUCCCGUUCCCGUUCCCGGUCCCGCUCCCAUCUCCCAUGCCUCUCCCGUUCCCGUUCCCGGUCCCGCUCCCAUCUCCCACGCCUCUCCCUGUCCCUGUCCCGGUCCCGUUCCCGGUCCCGCUCCCAUCUCCCACGCCUCUCCCUGUCCCUGUCCCGGUCCCGUUCCCGGUCCCGUUCCCGGUCCCGUUCCCAUCUCCCGUUCCCGGUCCCGUUCCCGGUCCCGUUCCCGUUCCCGGUCCCGUUCCCGUUCCCAUCUCCCGUUCCCGGUCCCGUUCCCGUUCCCGGUCCCGCUCCCAUCUCCCAUGCCUCUCCCGUUCCCGGUCCCGUUCCCGUUCCCGUUCCCGGUCCCGUUCCCAUCUCCCAUGCCUCUCCCGUUCCCGUUCCCGGUCCCGGGCCCCGGGCCCCGCCCCUCAGCGCUCUCCUCUCAUUGGCUCUCGUUGCCGUUCGGCCCCGCCCCCCGCGCGCUCCCAUUGGACGGCUAAAAGGGGGCGGGACCUCGGCGCGGCGACCUUCAGCCGGGAGGCCGGGGGCCGGCACGUGACGUGA
rnacentral:lncRNA from 1 species